CUAAACCCUACAAGAAUAUUUUCAAAAAAUUUCAUCAUACAAUUUGUGAUGAGCUGAUAGGCACUAAUCAGUCCAAGUCUUUUAAAGGUUGGUAGGAAUUGUUGCAACGUGAGGACAACGGAACAAAGGUCAGGUGGUUUAUUGUUUUGGGGUGUCUUUUAUACCUUUAUAAAACUGAAUGUAGGCAGUUAAGGUCGAACACGUGGGCAAUAAAGCGUGGAUUGUAUCAAACAAGUAAAAGGCAAGU
rnacentral:ncRNA from 1 species